rnacentral:rRNA from 1 species
UAAUAGAUACCCCGGUAGUCCACGCCGUAAACGAUGAAUGCUAGGUGUUAGGGGUUUCGAUACCCUUGGUGCCGAAGUUAACACAUUAAGCAUUCCGCCUGGGGAGUACGGCCGCAAGGCUGAAACUCAAAGGAAUUGACGGGGACCCGCACAAGCAGUGGAGUAUGUGGUUUAAUUCGAAGCAACGCGAAGAACCUUACCAGGUCUUGACAUCCCCCUGACCGGUCUAGAGAUAGGCCUUUCCUUCGGGACAGGGGAGACAGGUGGUGCAUGGUUGUCGUCAGCUCGUGUCGUGAGAUGUUGGGUUAAGUCCCGCAACGAGCGCAACCCUUGACUUUAGUUGCCAGCAGGUAAGGCUGGGCACUCUAGAGUGACUGCCGGUGACAAACCGGAGGAAGGUGGGGAUGACGUCAAAUCAUCAUGCCCCUUAUGACCUGGGCUACACACGUACUACAAUGGCCGGUACAACGGGAAGCGAAGCCGCGAGGUGGAGCGAAUCCUAGAAAAGCCGGUCUCAGUUCGGAUUGCAGGCUGCAACUCG